GUUUUGGGCAGGAAAAUGUGCUUGCGGUCAGUCAUAAAGGACUUCCGUCUAACUUUUUAUCUACUGGAGGGAUUUGUAUGAUUUUUGGUUAUGUUUAUAUUUAAAGUAUGCUGAUUCUGAAUAUGUAGGAAGAUUGGAUGUAUAUAUUUAAAGUUACAGUUUAUGUAUAAAAAGUGUAUUUUUCCUGCCUGUGAUAAUUACUUUAAACCAGUGUGUUCAGUGAUUAUAUCACAGGCAGAGGGGAGGAUUUGUGUGUUAUUGAUAG